AAAGAGUUGUAAUUCUAAGUUGAUUAGUUAUUCGAAUUGGUUUAUUUUUCAUUUAACAUGUUUUUUUUAAAUCACGUGUUUGAAAGGGGAAAAUUAGCAGUUCCCUGAUGUCCUGGUCUUUGGGGUACUUAUACAGUGGUACUGUGUUCAGACUGCAUAUAGGCAGUGGCGGUUCUAGACCAUUUCAACUGGGGGGUUGAAAUGGUGUUCCGCGUUGCCACUGUCUAAUAACGAUGUAAAAAAGAAUGAUAGCAAAAAUUAUUUAUGUAAAAAUUAUUUCAUAUUUUUAUGACAGGGGGUCCAAAAUUGUUGUCACAGGGGCACUGCCCCCCCCCACACACACACACACACACACACAGAGCCGCCCCUGCAUAUAGGAAGGAAAAUAUAUGUUAAUAAGGGGUGACAGUUACUUCACAUGGAUUGUGAUAUAUGUAUUGCUGAUUUUAUGUUGUGUUUUUGUUUUGAUACAAAUUUCAACAGAUUGGGAUUGUGGUGUGGGAAUUCUGUGAGGUGUUAGGGUGCUAUCUUCAUGAUCUGGUAACUCUUCCUAGAGGUCACCAGUAGAAUAAGGGAGUAUGGACUAAUUUAUAAAAUAUUUUUUUAGCAGUAACAUUAUGUUAUGCUUUUUGACAUUUGUCUUAGAGAUGUUAUUAAGAAAAGGUUAAUGUCAUAAUUUGUCAUAUAGUCAAUGUUUGUCUGGUUUCCUGAAACAGAAAUGUAAUGAACUUAACUGUUGUUAUGAUCUGUGUUUGUUUUUUUGGUUAUCAUGGAAGGUUACGUCAGAUCGUGUCUUAAUGCAUGGUAGAAGUAAUUUGACCAUAGACAGUGUGUGUAAACCUCAAAACCCUCCCUAACCGGCUGAAGAAAGAGCGACGGAGGCGUGCAAGGAGAGACAGUGACUUACCACUCCUAUCUGAGUCCGAGCCAUAAAACAGGGCCGGGGUGGUGAGAGCGUGUGUGGAGUGAGCGUGGAGAGAGAGAACAAGCUCAGUAACUGCUUGUGAGCCAGCCAACCAGGUGAACAUGGUCACCAUGGAGGAGGCAGUUGAAGAGGGGCCCAUGGUCACCAUGGAGGAGGGAACUGAUCCUAAUAAGGGCAGGUAAGUCAGAAAGUUGAGUCUUAAGAAUAAAUAACACAGGGGACUCAAUCAGCCACGUGCUACAGCAAUAAGCAUUAAUUCACAUAGACAGCGUAGCGUAUAUGCCAGCGUUAAUGUCAGGGAAAGCCAUUAUAAAGGGUUGUAUUGUCAUUCCUCAAGUUUUCCAGCCGUAGUCCAGGCUACAUGUCCAUGAUCUAAAUAAACUGGAGUAGCUGGUGCAGCUCAAAAAACUUUACUUAGCUAAGUAUAGAAAAUCAUAACAAUUCCUCGAAUACCCUUUCUACAAACAACCCACUCAAUCUCUACACCAGAUUUGAUUCAUUUCAACCACUUUGAACUGUACAAUCAAAUCGUCUGUAAGCAACAACGGUAAUAAGGUCAAGAAAACAACACUGACAAUGUGAUAUAUCAUUCCAAAACACAACCCAGUUUAUAAAUGUAGAAUAACGUUGCAUUCAUACAUUGCUACAUUGUUUUUCAUAAGUACUAGUCUAUACUGAAAGGCUCAACGCAGGAGUUGAGAAGCAGGUACAGGGAGUGAAGGUUUAAUAACUGACGACACAAAACAACAGGAACAGCGUCUGGAUUGGAACACAUAAAAACAAUUAAUCUGGACACAGGGAACACCGUCGAGGAACGAAGGAGUCCAGGUGAGUCCAAUGCGUGCUGCUGCGUGUCAUGAUAUGACAGGUGCGUGUAAAGACGGGUAGCCUGGCACCCUUGAGCGGCAGGGAGGGGGAGCAGGCAUGACAUAUACAUGAUAUUGGCUUGCAGUUUAACAUAUUUACGCUAAAUACACACUUUAAGUGAACUUCACAAGCACGUUGACAUGUGUCUUUAGUCUUGAAAAUAUACUAAUUUGGCGUUCUAUAUAUGGUGCAUUCGAAAAGUAUUCAGACCCCUUGACCUUUCCCAUGUAUUGUUACGUUUCAGCCUUAUUCUAAAGUUGAUUAAAUUGUUUUUGUUCCCCAUCACACACUCAUCUACACACAAUACCCCAUAAUGACAAAGCAAAUACAGGUGUUUAGACAUUUUUGCAAGUUUAUUACAAAUAAAAAACGGAAAUAUCACAUUUACAUAAGUAUUCAGACCCUUUAUUCAGUACUUUGUUGAAGCACCAUUGGCAGUGAUUACAGCCUCGAAUCUUCGGUAUGACGCUACAAGCAUGGCACACCUGUAUUUGGGAAGUUUCUCCCAUUCUUCUCUGCAGAUCCUUUCAAGAUCUGUCAGGUUGGAGGGGGAGCAUCGCUACAUAGCUAUUUUCAGGUCUCUCCAGAGAUAUUCGAUUGGGUUCAAGUCCGGGCUCUGGCUGGGCCACGCGAGGACAUUCAGAAACUUGUCCCGAAGCCAAUCCUGCGUCGUCUUGGCUGUGUGCUUAGGGUCUGUGUCCUGUUGGAAGGUGAACCUUCGCCCCAGUCUGAGGUCCUGAGUGCCCUGGAGCAGGUUUUCAUCAAGGAUGUCUCUGUACUUUGCUCCGUUCAUCUUUACCUCGAUCCUGCCAAGUCUCACAGUCCCAGCCACUGAAACUUUCCCAUAGCAUGACUCUGCCACCACCAGGCUUCACCGUAGGGAUGGUGCCAGGUUUCCUUCAGAUAUGACGCUUGGCAUUCAGGCCAAAGAGUUCAAUCUUAGUUUCAUCAGACCAGAGAAUCUUGUUUCUCAUGGUCAGAGUCCUUUAGGUGCCUUUUGGCAAACUCCAAGCGGGCUGUCAUGUGCCUUUUACUGAGGAGUGGCUUUUGUCUGGCCACUCUACCAUAAAGGCCUGAUUGGUGGAGGGCUGCAGAGAUGGUUGUCUUUCUAGAAGGUUCUCCCAUCUCCACAGAGGAACUCUGGAGGUCUGUCAGAGUGACCAUCUGGUUCUUGGUCACCUCCCUGACCAAGGUGCUUCUCCCCCGAUUGCUCAGUUUGGCCGGGCGGCCAGCUCUAGGAAGAGUCUUGGUGGUUCUAAACUUCUUCCAUUUAAGAAUGAUGGAGGCCAAUGUGUUCUUGGGGACCUUCAGUGCUGCAGAAAUGUUUUGGUACCCUUCCCCAGAUCUGUGCCUCAACACAAUCCUGUCUCUGAGCUCUACGGACAAUUCUUUCGACUUCAUGGCUUGGUUUUUGCUCUGACAUGCACUGUCAACUGUGGGACCUUUAUAUAGACAGGUGUGUGCCUUUACAAAUCAUGUCCAAUUAAGGUUUACUCCAUUCAAGUUGUAGAAACUUCUUAAGGAUGAUCAAUGGAAACAGCAUACACCUGAGCUCAAUUUUGAGUCUCAUAGCAAAGGGUGUGAAUACUUCAGUAAAUAAGGUAUUUCUGUUUUGUAUUUUUUAUAAAUUUGCCAAAAAUCUAAAAACCUGCUUUCGCUUUGUCAUUAUGGGAUAUUGUGUGUAGAUUGAUGAGGAAAGAAAUGUAUUAAUACAUUUUAGAAUAAGGCUGUAACGUAAUAAAAUGUGGAAAAAGUCAAAGGGUCUGAAUACUUUCCGAAUGCUCUGUAUACUUCUGAUGCCGUUGACGCUCACAGCCUGUCUGUUUUUCUCUCAUUUAAUCACAUGUAUUCUGUUUCCAGCAUAAGCAUGCUCAUUCCCGCACUAUAAAAAAGGCUCCCUGUGUGAUUUGGGCUUUACCCAUAGUGAAUCAGCUAAUCCCAGUUCACUCCCUAACUCUUUCCCUUGGCCCUAACACUUCGAUGUUUGUAUACGUGUAAGGUGUAAGCAAUAUGGUGUAAGCUCUACCACUUUCCUGAUUAUACCUAUCCAGACCCUUAAGAAAAAUAUAAAGGUUAGGUCAGGGCCAAGGAGGAGGGGUAGGGAGUGAAUUUGGACCAGCAAAUAAUGUGUAUGUGCCACCUAAGAGUUUCAAUACCAAUCAUGUCUGUGUGUGUUCAUUGAGGUUGAAGUUCACAGUGGAAAAGAUGCAGGGGUCCAUCGUGACCAUGGUGGAGAAUACUGGCACUGCAGAGUGCCAGAAAAGACCGAACCGAAGAAGUGCAAAGUGGCAGAAAAUGGCGGAGCACCUGGGUCCACCUACUCACUAUCACCUAAAACCCCCUCCUGUCGCUACACUGUGAAGGAUCUCUCCCAGUUGUGAAGGAGCCCCUCCCACCCUUAUCUCCAUAUAAUAAAU
rnacentral:lncRNA from 1 species